GGAGCAGCCACGGCGCUGGGAAGGCUUAGCGCCUCCGGAAAAUGGAACGCAACGGCCACCGUCCUGCCUCCACAUUAGCUUCCAAGCUCUCUUCAGAGAUAUUUUCUAAUGCAAAGAUGUUAGCCCAUUGACUGUGUUCAUGGAAAAGCAUUUCAAUUUAAGGUAAUUGAAAUGAUCUCUUAUCUAUUGGAUAUCUUCUAUUCUUUGUUUGGUUUAGAAUUUUCUUCCAAGACACAGUUGUUAAAGAUACCCUAUUCUGUUCUCUUCUUAUUCCUUUUAUGUGAUGACCUCAUGCAUCCUCUUUGAACUUAUUAUUAUUAUUAUUAUGAAGGUAAAAUGUUGGUCUAGCAAUUAAUAGUUUUGUCAAAUGUGUUCUUGAAUCACUUAAGAACCAUUUUAUUAAAUUCAAUUGUUUAGGAUACUUGCUUAUCUAUUCUGUGAGUGCUCUCCCUCCCCCCUGCAGGAGCUGGCCGGGAGUGCGCCACCACGCCUCUCCAACCCAGGGAACCUUGCGUGCUCCUGCCCCUCUCCUCCUGCUGUCCACUACUGCGCCAGAAGCUGGAUGGAGAUGACAGUUGUCCGGCGAGGAGUAAGUUCAAUGAGUUAAGUAGAAUGGUUUGUCCUAACACAGAAGCUCCAGUCAAUAGGAAUUAGCUGAAAGACAACCUGAUUGAUUUCAGAACCUGCAAUGAUAGAGUUCUUUCUCAUGGUUUUUCCUUUUUAUUCUAAUUCUUCUUUUAUAACAUAACUAAAUUGGAAAUUUGUUUAAUAUGAUUAUUCAAUUCUAGGAACAAUUUAGGGAGAACACUGAUAAAACUACUGAAAGUCCAGAAAACUAUAAUGGUAAAGGGCUUCAAGAUCAUGUCAAAUUAAAAAAAAUGGGACUAUUUGGUCUCAAAAAUGAGAGACUCAUAGACUUAAAAGCUACAAGAAAUCUUGGGAAGAAAAAAUAAAACACGGCAGUAAGGCCACGUACCACAUCACACCCCUCUGUCUAUCAGCACAAUUGUUCAUUUAUGAAAACUGUCAUGUUGUAAGUUUGAUACUGAAAACUUUUUUCACUUGUGUCUAAUGGAGAAGUUUUUAUAGUUUAACUUGUGUACAAUGAAUUACCAGAUUUUUAAAACCAUUUUGUACUCUUACUCUCUUUAUGGAAGUUGCAAGAGUGAAGGAUGGUUGAUUACUCAUACUGGUUCAUUGUAAGCUCACACCUAAUUUAACUAAGUUGAAAUUUGUUAUUACCUGUUACUGCUUAUUACUCUUAAUAAAACAGAUCUUUUGUCGUGUAGUGUUUCUUAAAAAACAAAACAAAACAAAAAAACCCUGUAGUUUAUCCAGGAAGUGUAGCAAGCAACCUUUCUAGUGUAUCAGGCAGAACUGAACUAUAGACGUUCUGCUUACCUGUUACCUAGCUAUUAAAAAGCAGACUCUUGCGUACCUAUUUUGGGCCAGGCCUGAUUGAUUCGUUCAAGAUAGAAAUUAAAUAAGACACUUGUAGUGUAAUGUUCGAGAAACUGAGGGAGGAUAGAAAUUGGAGGGUUUUUAAUAUUUUAUUUGGAUUUCUGAUGUUAUGCCACAGUUCCCUUUUAAUGUCCUGACCCAGUUUCUCCAAUUGUCCUAUUUAGUUACUCUGCCUCAGGUUAUAACCUUUCCCUCUUAAUGUUUGAUGAGAUAAAGUUUUUUUAUAUUUAGGCUAUAAUCAUUCCUUCUUAAUGUUUGACAGUUUAUGUUUUGACAGUUAAUGUUUGUCUAUCCAUUUUAGACAUCAUUAGAAUAUCAGUAACCUCUCCAGUAACUCCCUCCAUUGUGUCAUCCAAGGUACCUCCCCCCUCCAUUAGCUUACCCCUAUCCAGGUACCUCCCCCAUUAUAUCAUUGUUCUUGUUAUCCUAUAAAAAUCUUGCUGUCCUGAUACUGGGGGCUGGAUUCUUUGAGACGAUAGUCUCGUUCAGCCCUGGGACCAACCAUGGAUCCAUUUGGUCCCAGUAAAUCUCUCCAUUAAAUAAAUUAUUAAAUUGUUCUCUAAUCCCUAUCCUGCUCAGUUUCUCGGUCAUUACACUGAGAGGGAGAGAUUGUGCUGUGGGCAUAUUGCCCCCAGGGCUGAUGUCCAAAGCAUCCAGCAGCUAAUGUGUGCUUUCCAUAAAGUAUAUGUGCAUGUGACUCCAAGCUACCAGAAGGUAGACCAAGGCAGGGGCGGAGUCAGAGCACUGAGAGCAGGAAGGACUGUCAAUCUGGUUCUGACAGGGUGGAGGGAGGCACCAGACAUUCUGAUAAGUAGGGAAGGUCUGGGGUCAUGAGAUCUAAGAUUGAAAGUCUUUCUCCUUAAUCUGGAUCAUGAUGAUUAAGAGGGGGGAUGUUGCAACCACGCAGAACAAUUCAAGGAAAUUGAGGUAGAACAGUUAGGAAAACUGAGGUAGAAUAAUCAAAGGAAACUGUGGCACAACAGUAGAACAUGUUACAUUUAGCAAAUGGGAGUCUACUUAGCAAUAGCUUGGAAAUUAUAUUCUUCUUCUUGUCCUUCGUUUUCAAAGAGGACCAAAAUGACAUUGUUAGAAUCGAGUUACAGUAUGCCGUCUGUCCAAUCAGACCAAUACAAGCUGGAAAUGUUCUGCCACAGGUUGGACACAAAAUAGUCUGUAUGCAGUGAAAAUAUAGUUUCCCAUUUAUAACUCAGAAAUUGGCAAACAACAAUCAGGACCUGAAUUAUUUUGUUGAUUGCCAGGGCAAAGCUAAGAAUGAUUUUGACAUGUUUAAAUACAGUAACACCUUAUUUAAAAUUUAAAAAAAGAAAAAGAAAAUAUAGCUUCCCAUACGUCUCCAUAUGAGAUGUGCCUACUCAAAUAAAUCAGCCCCCAGAAAAGAAUCAAGAUGGCAAAAGUGAGAGGAGCAUUAGACUCUCACUAGAAAAUGCUUUAGAUUAAAUUCUGAUUGAAAAAGUCAAGCUAUCACAGUGAGUCAUUUUUCCAAUUGAGGGCAAUUUAGGGAAACACGGGUGUCUGCAGACACAGAGGACAGGAACUGGCAAGAACACAAAGCAUCUGUGGUGGGGAGCAUUCCAGUGCCCAGAGACUAAGACAAAAACACUCUUAGAGAUCCCAGUGUUUACUUGAGCAGAAACUAGGUACAGGUGCCAUCUGACAGGUCUUUCUCCUACCACUCAGGCCCAAAUGACUAACCCAGGAUGGAGAGGAAUGGUUUGGAACUUUGACCCUAACUGAACAUGAAACAAGUACUAGGAAGGAAAUGAUAACUGUGUGGCUCUGACCCAUGAACUAGAAAACAGUAUUCUGUACAAAAGAGGAACCUGCAGUUCAGUCAACUCUGAAUGCAUAGAAUAUCCCAGUGGAACAAUAGUGACUGAAUCAAGCAGCAGUCUGAUGAAACUCCCAACAAAAAACAAGCUGAUAUGACCAAAUUUAGGUCAGGAACCCUCAGAAAUCAGACCAGGAGGACAAUGAACAGACACUCCCCUGCAAUCUCACUAUCUUAGGAGCCAAUACCAGUCCUUUUAUCUUCAGAAGUAGACAGAACCUAACACUAACAAAAUUCAUAGUCGAGAAGUAAAUUAUCAAAAAGGAAAAAUGAGGAGGAAAAUCCCACCAUGAAGAGCUAUUAUAAUAAAAGAAGUACAAGACAAAAAGACAAUGACUUGAAAAAAUUCAUAUGGAAAGUCUCAAAAAUAAAUACAUCUUGGACACAAGUCCAACAAGAAUUUCUAGAAGAAUUAAAGCAAGUGUUAACGAAGGAGCUUUUAAAAAAUAGAAUUUUAAAAAGAAAAGAAUAGUAGAGGAAAGAAUGAGAAAAAGGACAAGUGGAAGGAACAUGAAAGAAUAAGAUGGAAAAAGAGAUAUAAAGCCUCAUCAAAGAAAAUGACUCCUUGAAAAUUGUGUUGCUGAGUCACAUUCAACUCUUUGUGACCCUGUGAAUCGUACUAUCCACAGAAUUUUCAUGGCAAAGUCAUUUUCUUCUCCAAUAAAUUAUAGCAAAUGGAAGCUAAUUAACUUGUCCAGGAUCACACAGCCGUAUGUAUCUGAGACUGGAUUUGAACUCAGACCUGACUCUAAGUCCAGCACUCUAUUCACUGGGUUCCUAACUGCUUUGAAAAAGAGAAUUAGCAAAAUGGAAGCUAAUGACUCAAUGAAAUCUCAAGAAACAAAACAAUCUGGGGAAAGACUGGGGAGGAGGGGAGAAGAGAAUGUGACAUGUUGUAGGGAAAACAACUGACACUGAAAGAACCUAUCAAUUAUCUCCUGAAAGAAUCCCACAAAUGAAAACUCCCAGAAAUACUGUAUUCAAAAUAAAAAAACUCCCAAUUGAAGGAAAAAAUAAUUCAAGUACCCAGAAAGAAAGAAUUUGAGUACAAAGGAAGUACAGUUAGAAUCACACAAGAUUAAGCAGCUAUGAGCAUAAAGGGAAUGGAGACUCUAGAGAAUAUGAUAUUGUAAAAGGAUGAAACAACCAAGAAUAACUUAACCAGAACACUAAGUAUAAUCUUAGAAUGGAAAAAAAAAUAAUCUUUAAAGAAAUAAAGGACGAAUAAGCAUCCCUGAUGAACAGAUAGAUUUGAGUUAAAAAUUUGACAUACAAACCCAGGAAUGAAGAGAAACCUAAAAAGUUAAGUAAUCACAAGGGACUGAACAAUAUUAAAUUAUUUACAUUUUUAUAUGAAAAGAUGACACAUAUAACCCCUUGACUUUAUGUUCACUAGGGGUUAGAGAGGGAAUCUAAUUGAACAAGUUAUAUUUGGAUGUUCUCAAAAGAAGAGGACACUGAGAUAAAGGGGAAGGGAGAAGAACAAGGAAAAUUAUCUCACAUAAAUAGGAUGUAAUAAAAGGACUUUGCACAAGGAGGGAACAAUUGGGGUGGAAUAUACAACACUUGAAACUCACUGUUACCUGAACUACUUAAAGGAAAAAAAACAUAACACACAGUUGGGUACAGAAAUAUGUCUUACUUAACAGGCAAAUAGGAAGGAAAUGGGUUAAAAGGAAAAAAGAGUGGGAGAGGAAAGUAAGAAGUGUAGCUUUUCUAGGCAUUGACCCACACUUAACACCUUACACCAGGAUAAGGUCAAAAUGGGUUCAUGACCUAGGCAUAAAGAAUGAAAUUAUAAAUAAAUUAGAGGAACACAGGAUAGUUUACCUCUCAGAUCUGUGGAAGAGGAAGGAAUUUAUGACCAAAGAACUGGAGGUCAUUAUUGAGCACAAAAUAGAAAGUUUUCAUUAUAUCAAAUUGAAAAGUUUUUGUACAAACAAAACUAAUGCACUCAAGAUUUGAAGGGAAGCAAUAAACUGGGAAAACAUUUUUACAUUCAAGCGUUCUGAUAAAGGCCUCAUUUCCAAAAUAUAUAGAGAAUUGACUCUAUAAGAAAUCAAGCCAUUCUCCAAUUGAUGAAUGGUCAAAGGAUAUGAACAGACAAUUUUCAGGUUAUGAAAUUGAAACUAUUUCCACUAACAUGAAAGAGUGUUCCAAAUCACUAUUGAUCAGAAAUGCAAAUUAAGACAACUCUGAGAUACCACUACACACCUGUCAGAUUGACUAAAGUGACAGGAAAAAAUAAUGAUGAAUGUUGGAGGGGAUGCGGGAAAACUGGGACACUGAUGCAUUGUUGGUGGAAUUGUGAACAAAUCCAACCAUUCUGGAGAGCAAUCUGGAAUUAUGCCCAAAAAGUUAUCAAACUUUGCAUACCCUUUGAUCCAGCAGUGCUACUACUGGGCUUAUACCCCAAAGAGGCACUAAAGAAGGGAAAGGGACCUGUAUGUGCAAAAAAGGUUUGUGGCAGCCCUGUUUGUAGUGGCUAGAAACUGGAAAAUGAAUGGAUGCUCAUCAAUUGGAGAAUGGUUAGGUAAAUUGUGGUAUAUGAAUGUUAUGGAAUAUUAUUGUUCUGUAAGAAAUGAUUAGCAGGAUGAAUACAGAGAAGCUUGGAAAGACCUACAUGAACUGAUGCUAAGUGAAAUGAGCAAGACCAGGAGAUCAUUAUAUACUUCAACAACGAUACUGUAUGAGGAUGUAUUCUGAUGAAAGUGGAUUUCUUUGACAAAGAGAAGACCUAACUCAGUUUCAAUUGCUCAUUGAUGGACAGAAGCAGCUACACUCAAAGAAAGAACACUGGGAAGUGAAUAUAAACUGUGUGCAUUUUUGUUUUUCUUCCCAAGUUAUUUUUACCUUCUGAAUCCAAUAAGAGAACUGUUUGGUUCUGCACACAUAUAUUGUAUCUAGGAUAUACUGUGACAUAUUUAACACAUAUAGGACUGCUUGCCAUCUGGGGGAGGAGGAAAAUCAGAACAGAAGUGAGUGCAAGGGAUAAUGUUGUAAAAAGUUACCCUGGCAUGGGUUCUGUCAAUAAAAAGUUAUAAUUAUUUAAAAAAAAAAAAAAAAGAUGCUCCAAGUCAUUAUUAAUCAGAAAAAUGCAAAUUAAGAUAACUCUGAGAUACACACCUGUCAGAUUGGCUAGAAUGACAAGGAAAGAUAAUACAGAAUGUUGGAGGGAAUGUGGGAAAACAGGGACACUAUUACAUUGUUGGUGGAGUUGUGAAUACAUCCAGCCAUUCUGGAGAGCAAUUUGGAACUAUGCUCCAAAAGUUAUCAAACUGUGCAUACCCUUUCAUCCAGCAGUGUUUCUACUGGGCUUAUAUGCCAAUGAAAUCUUAAAGAAAGGAAAGGGACCUGUAUGUGCAAGAAUGUUUAAGGCAGGUCUCUUUGUAGUGGCCAGAAACUGGAAACUGACUAGAUGCCCAUCAAUUGGAGAAUGGCUGAAUAAUUUGUAGUAUGUAAAUAUUAUGGAAUAUUGUUAUUCAGUAAGAAAUGACUAGCAUGAGGAUUUCAGAAAGGCCUAGAGAGACUUACACAAACUGAUGCUGAGUGAAAUGAGCAGGACCAAGAGAUCAUUAUCUACUUCAACAACAAUACUAUAUAAACAUCAAUUCUGAUGGAGAUGGCCAUCUUCAGCAAUGAGAUGAACCAAAUCAGUUCCAAUGGAGCAGUAAUGAACUGAACUAGCUACACCCAGCGAAAGAACUCUGGGAGAUGACUAAGAACCAUUACAUAGAAUUCUCAAUCCCUAUAUUUUUGCCUGCUUGCAUUUUUUUAUUUCCUUCACAGGCUAAUUGUACAAUAUUUCAGAAUCCAGUUCUUUUUGUACAACAAAGCAACGGUUUGGACAUGUAUACUUAUUUUGUAUUUAAUUUAUACUUUAACAUAUUUAACAUGUAUUGCUCAUUCUGCCAUCUAGGGGAGGGGGUGGAGGAAAGGAGGGGAAAAAUUAGAACAAAAAGUUUGGCAGUUGUCAAUGCUGUAAAAUUACCCAUGCAGAUAACUUGUAAAUAAAAAGCUAUUUUUAAAAAAUUAAUAAGUAUAGGAAGGAAAAAAAAGUAUAGAUUUUCACUAUAAGAGAGACAUUAAGCAGAAGCAACACAGAUUCUUAAGUAGGAGGAGGCAUGAGAAAAAUAGGAUAAAUAUAAGAGACUAGGGUGGAAGGAAAUACAACGUAUUUGUACACAAAGUAUACAAAUACUGUGAUUCUGAAUGGAAUGAAUUUAUCCAUAAAAUGGAGUAGGAUAGCAGAAUGGAUUAGAAACCGAAGUCCAACAAAAAGUUCCCAAGAAAUGAACUUCAAACAGAGAUACACACAGAGUUAAAAAUAAAGGGCCAGAAUAGAAUCUAUAAUUUCAGACAAAAGUAAAAAUUUACCCAACUAAAAGAAAUAAGUGAAAUCACAUUUUGCUAAAAGGUCCCAUGGACAAUGAAUUAAUAUCAAUACUAAACAUAUUGCCAAAUGGUAAGGCAUCUAAAUUCUUAAGGGAAAGGUUAAAUGAAGUGCAGAAAAAAACCAGCAAAUUAUGAUAGUAGGGGACUUCAAUUUAUCUCCUCCUAGAUCUAGAUUCAUUAAGACAAAAAAAUAAAUAAGAAAAUAAGGACCUAAAUAGAAUUUUCGGAAUAGAAAGAAGCAUGCCUUUAACUGUACAUUACACAUUUGCAAAAAUCAACCAUGUAUAAGAGCAUGAAACUUAACAAUCCUCAAAGAAAAGUAUUUUUACCAAUCAUAAUGCAGUAAAAAUAUAUUUAAAGAAGGAACCCUGAAACUCUAAAACUCCUUGAAGGAGAAAACCUUCAACUCUGCCUCAGUGAGGAACCCCGCUCAAGGAAACAAGACAAACAGUUUCAUUCUGUUAUCUAGCAAAAGAAUUCCAAUCCUAUUGAAUUAAAGGAACUUAUUGAAUUCUAUUCAAAUUCUGGCUCAAGCUGAAACCCAGCUAGUAGAUGACUCCACACACUAGCCCCCUUCACCUUGUAGCCAAAUCUAUUAUAAUAGAGCCAAACUAAAAUUCUCUCUUUGCAGAGGUUCUAAACAUACCAUGCUAUACCAUGCUAUGCCAAAUAGGCUUCUGCCCACUGGAAUAAUAUAUAUGUUUAGCUUAAACAUAUAUUUUUUAAAUAGCUUUUUAUUUACAAGUUAUAUGCAUGGGUAAUUUUACAGCAUUGACAAUUGCCAAACCUUUUGUUCCAAUUUUUCCCCUCCUUCCCCCCACCCCCUCUCCUAGAUGGCAGGAUGACCAAUACAUGUUAAAUAUAUUAAAGUAUAAAUUAAAUACAAAAUAAGUAUCCAUGUUCAAACUGUUAUUUUGCUGUACAAAAAGAAUCGGACUCUUAAAUAUUGUACAAUUAACCUGUGAAGGAAAUUAAAAAAAAAAAAGCAGGCAGGCAAAAAUAUAGGGAUUGGGAAUUCAAUGUAAUAGUUCUUAGUCAUCUCCCAGAGUUCUUUCACUGGAUGUAGCUGGUUCAGUUCAUUACUGCUCCAUUGGAACUGAUUUGGUUCAUCUCAUUGCUGGAGAUGGCCAUGUCCAUCAGAAUUGAUCAUUAUAUAGUAUUGUUGUUGAAGUAUAUAAUGAUCUCCUGGUCCUGCUUAUUUCACUCAGCAUCAGUUUGUGUAAGUCUCUCCAGGCCUUUCUGAAAUCAUCCUGUUGGUUAUUUCUUACCGAACAAUAAUAUGGAAUGAUAUUCUUUUCCAGUGUUAUCCUCUCUUUAUUCUCACCUAUUUCCUUAAUGAGACUUUAUGCCUCUCUGUCAGGAUUUCUAACCUUAUUUCCCAAUCCCUAUAAUAAACCUCUUUUAUCAAUCUUAA